ensembl:lncRNA
CAAAAUUCAGGACUGUAACCCAUGCAAGGCUGACAGACUGACUAACCGACUGUCUGUUUGACUGACUUUGUGACUGACUAGGUGACUAACUGCAACUCAGCCUCAGAGGAGACAGAGAGACAAGAGGUUCGUCCUUCCCGCCCCGCCGUCACGCGACUGUGACAGCUGUUUCAGCUGGCCCUGAAAGGCCCUGUGGAUAUCUCUGUGUCCUGUGUGCUCAUCCCCUGACACCUGCUGUGUGGUGCCCUCUUCCACCUGUGCAAAGAGGAGGAGCAUGCGCUGCUCUCCCCCAAUGAAAAGGUGCCAUGCCUCAAUGCCGGCUUCGGCUGUUCAAUCAGUAUGCCCUGUGCCUGGCAGGCGGUCUACCUGCAGGUCUGUCCCGCCAGCGUGGGUGUGCUGCUCCAUGGAGUGGAAGUCACACCCGGCGCCAGGAUAAAGUGACUAAGGGGGCAGUGAAAUUGGCUGGUGGUGGCUGGUCCACUCCAGGAGUCUGAGGUGCGGGAGGUUCCUCCGCCCCCCCUGGACAUCGAGGGGGCCCGGCAUAUGCUGUUCGAGCCAUACUGGACUCGAGGCGUCGGGCGAGGGGCCUUCAGUAUCUCGUGGAGUGGGAGGUGUAAGGUCCAGAGGAGACCUGCUGGGUGCCGGUGGAGGACAAUUUGGACCCUUCGUUGCUGCAGGAUUUCCACCGUCUCCAUCCGGAUUGCCAUGCACCUCGUCCUCUGGGUCGUCCCCGAGGUCGGUGUCGACGUACAGCUGGAACCGCGUGUCAAGGGGGGGUACUGUCACAACUUCCACCGAAGUCGGUCCCUCUCCUUGUUCGGGCGGCAUUCGGCGGUCAACGUCACCGGCCUUCUAGCCAUCGCUGAUCCACUUUUAAUUUUCCAUUUGUUUUGUCUUUGUUUUACACACAUGGUUUCAAUUUCCCAAUUGCAUGUUUAUUAUUUAACCCUCAGUUUUCCCCAUGGUUUUUGUGCCUGUUUGUUUAUUGCAAGUUUGGUCCGAUGUUUGUGGGCUUGGUGUUACUUCAUGUAUUUUGAAUUGUUUAGUAAAUUUCCUUUUGUUACUCAUCUCUGCUGUCCUGUGCCUGACUCCUCUGCACCAGCUACACCCAGAUCCUUACACAUAAAAAAGCCAGACUACGGUUUGCAACUGCACAUGGGGACAAAGAUCGUACUUUUUGGUGAAAUGUCCCCUGGCCUGAUGAAACAAAAAUAGAACUGUUUGGCCAUAAUGACCAUCGUUAUGUUUGGAGGAAAAAGGGGAUGCUUGUAAGCCGAAGAACACCAUCCCAACCGUGAAUCACGAGGGUGUUAACAUCAUGUUGUGGGGGUGCUUUGCUGCAGGAGGGUCUGUUGCACUUCACAAAAUGUAAGCCCAAAACAAUAACACUUGCAGUGUUAGUGAAAGGUCAUUGGGUGGGGCUACAAAUGAUCCUUUACGGAGUAUGCUACAAUGUUUUACUAAAAACUUGAUCAUAAACAGUAUGCGACUAUGCAGUUUAAGUAUGUAGUAUGCUACUAUGGGUAUUCAGACACGCCCACUGUGUUUCUAGUGCUAAAAUAAGGUGUUUUUGCUGUAUGCUGCUGAGUGCUAAUUAAUUGGAACUAUAUCUCACUUAGGACUUGAACUCAUAACCUAUUCGUUGGUAAUGACAUGAAGUCCCUGCUGCGACACCAGGUCAGAGACAAUAAAAGAGAAAAUAUAUAUGCAAC